UUGCCAACCAAAGACAUUGUAUGAUUUUCUAUAUUCACUCAUUACUCCAUAUUCACUCCAUAUUCAUUGCUUAGGUAGUAACUCAUUUUAUUUCUUCUUGAACUUAUAACAGCCCUGUAGAAUCAUAGAAAAAUUCAGUGGAAAAGUCUUUCACAAACACCUUCUUUUUCCUUUUUUCCUUCUUUUCCAUCCUCUUCUUCCCAAAACAGAGCUGAAAAGAUAAUUAAGGACACUCUCAUUCAAAUGAAAUGUCACUUUUCAGGUAGUAUUUCUUCAGUUUAAUAUCAUCACAGCAUUUAAAACAAUUAGCUUUUUUUUUUCCUUUAUUCUAUAUGGUAUUUUGAAUGUUAUGCAAGUUUUUAAUAUAUGUAUUAGAUUUUACGAUGUAGUAAUACGAACAACUGGGAAGAAUACUCUAUUCGGAUAGACUCCAGUUAAGCAAAGUAGCAUUAUGACAGAUAAUUCAAUCCUGCUGAUCUUAUUCAGGUUUCUCUCACUCAAAAUCCAUGCUGAUAUCAAGAAAUGUAAUAUGAACUUCUUAAUUUGAUCUGCAGUUAAUUUUUUAUAAUUUAUUUUCAAACAGAAGAUAUAUCUGUUAAAGAUUGAAUUGAGUUAUUCCAACCACUGCCUUGCUUAGCAGGUGGUGUGAAAUAGCCUUGUCUCAGGAAGAGCAAUUCAAGAUAUUGCAUCUUUUCACAGUGCUGAGAAGCCUAUGACCUGGUAGACCUUUGCCCACUUUGUUUUCCUGCUUGUAAUUGUAGCUGUCACUGUGAAAUAGUGUUUGCAGUUCACUGUCAGAGACACUUGUCCCGAAUGCCCCCUUUCACUCCCAUGCAGGUGGAUGCAACUUCAGAGAAGCCCUCUCUAUAUAGUCCAGGCUAAAAAUGCUGUACUGGAAGAAUGGAAGUGUUGCAAUACCACCAGCAAGAUGAACUUUUUUUUGGCACCAGCACUACUUUUAUCAUGCACAAGAAAAAUACUUAGUUAAAGAUAUUUACCCGGCAUUCUCAUUGAUUCCAGACCUCAAACUGGAAAGUAAGUUCCUCUAUUUCUGGCAGCUACCACUUUAUUUUCAUUGAGUAAGAACUGGCAAAUAACUUUCUGAAGGAAGCAGAAGGCUUUUUAUUACAUGGUUUUCAAUUGUAGUGUUGCUGAACUUCUUUGCAGAUAUAAGCCAACACAGACUCUGCACUGGGUUAUAGAGCUCUGUGGACUGUUCUUAAGGGACUCUGGUGCUAUUUGUAAGAAAGGAAUGUGGCUAUCUAUGAUUGUAACAACUACAAUACUGCAUAGCUCUUAUAAAGAUUGAAUAGCACCUACAGAACUGAAAGGAACUGCUGGGAAGAACUCAAAAUACUUGCUAAAGGAAGCAAGCAUUUCAACCUCUGCCUUGAUAAUGGAGAGUUAGAUAAGAAGUGAAGCUGAAUGAUUUGGUUUAAGUCACUCAGCAGGUAAAAGAUAAUAAAAUGUAAUGGGCAAAACAGCAGUUGAGGGUGGAAGAUGCACCAGGAAAUGAAACACAGGAUGUAUUCUGAGCUGCCAUUUGUUUUGAGACCUGAACUCUCUAAUUUGUGGUAGAGAAAUACCACCAUCAUUACUGGAAUCCCACUCAGUUUUUCUAGGCAAUGGAAUGAAACAGCUAGACUAGUGUGUGCAUGCUGUGCACAUAUAAACAUUCUAGACUUAAAUUGAAGAAGCUUGUUACUAUCCUCUUUUGUCCAUUAUAGCUGUACUUUGCUAUAUCUGCAUUACUUCUUGCGAUGGUAAGUUAUGAUGUUUUAUGUUUGAUGAACAAUGUAUCAUAAAACCAACAAGGACUUGAGUCUCCUGAUAGCAUCCAAUGCCUUCACUAUAUAGCAUUGAACACAACAGCAAUGGACCCUAAAAACUAUUAAACUUUAUAGCGCAGGCAAUUCUAGAAAUAGCAACAGUUUUAUUUUAUACCACUUUAUGGAUAAUUCUGAGGUAAUUAGGUAUUUUUUUGUCUAUUUUGAAAGUUUUCUUAACUAGCUUGAUCAAGGUAAGAAACUUUACUUUGUAAUGCAGAGUCAACAAAAAAAAAAAACCACUGACAACAAAAAAAAACUGUAGGAAUAUAAUCAAUGAUCUACGAAAUAUAUGCCUUUUAUAUAUGACAUCGUAUUUAUUUUCAAAAAAAAAAAAAACCUUGUCCAUGAUAAAAACGACAUCAAAUGUAUACUGGGGAAAAAAAAAAAAAAAAAAAAAAAAAAAAAAAAAAAAAAAAGGUUUUGCUGUCCCUUAGUUCAUAUUUACAUGACUUCAGAGUGCUUGGCUUACUUUAUCGAUUUUGCUGUCCUGAUGGGUUUACCUACUUAACACUUGUCAUUAUAGAAAAGUAUCUCCAAGUUCAUGGAUAGUUUUAUACAAUUUCCAAGUUGCGUGUUCCUGCAAUUAGUAGCAUGAGUUUAAUUUUGGUAGGGAAUAGAAGGUCUCAAAAAUUGUUUUUGCAGCCUUUAUGAAAAUCUGUUUGUUUGGGAGAAAAUAAUGAGACAUCCAAAAAGUUACCUUUUGCCAACUCAGCUUUGUCAAUUUCCUACAAGAUGUACUAAAAUAUCUCUGUUACCUUAACCCACUGAUUGGAAUUCAUUUUCUUCUUAUGAGAAGUUACUUUAGUGUGGCAGCUAGGGAACUAUGAGGCGGAAUCAUCAACUAGCUUCAAGUACCUAGCUUUGGCCAUCAUAGGCGCCUAGGGUACCAAUAUAUUCAGUGGUGUGAUCUUUGCUUACAGAAAAGAAAUCAGAGUACCUAACAGUCUUCACAUGUACCUUAUUUUCUCCGUUGGGUGGUUGAAGAGACUAAUGUAUCUAAAAAAUACCUCCUUAUUCCACCUAAAUAUUCAAAUUAUCUCUUAAUCCACUGAUUUUAUUAGGAACUGAUUUUAGCUGGUUUCUCAUAGACCAGAGUAUGCUAAUAUUAUCAAGAAAUUAAACACAAACCAAAACUUUCUUGUAGACCUCAGUUCUCCCCUAAUUAGUUUACUCGAGGUUAAUAUAAUCAGUGCUCUGCCAUAGCUGCAUAAAGACAGUGUUGGUGUUAAUGUGGAGAAAAAGUACUGAAGGUAGCACUUCACAAAUAGUCGGAUUGUAAAAAGAAGUUAUAUGAGAAAGGUGAGAUGAUAGAAUGAUACCAUAUAAUUUCCAUAAAAUAACAUCACAUACAUUGAAAACUAGAAAUGACAGCAUUUAGUUUACUCCUUGUCCUCGUUCUUGCUCUAUUGUGCACAUUUAUUAAUUUAGUCACCCUAAGGAGAUGAUCACAUGCUCUUCCAUUCUACUCAUGAUUCUUUCAGGACACUGAAAAUGUGUCAGAACUGUAUAGCAAAUUAAGUUAAUUUAUGUUAUUGCUUUAUCACAGAAUCAUACAGAAUGGCUUGGGUUGAAAGGAACCUCAAAGAUCACCUAGUUCCAAAUCCCCUGCUGCACCCCCCAUAUCCAGUUGACCAGGGCUCCAUCCAGUGUGGCCUUAAACAUCUCCAGGGAUGGGGCAUCCACAACUCUCUGGGCAGCCUGUUCCAGCACCUCACCACCCUCCCUGUGAAAAAGUUCCCCCAGCAUCUAAUCUAAAUCUUCCCAGCUUUGGUUUAAAACCAUUUCCUUUUCUCCUAUCACUCUCUACCUAUUUAAAAAGUUUAUUUCACUCCUAUUUAUAAGCUGCCUUAAAUACUGGAAGGCCAUAAUGAGGUCUCCCUGGAGCCUUUUCUUUUCCAGGCUGAACAAGCCCAGUUCCCUCAACCUAUCUUCAUAGGAGAGGUUCUCCAGCCUUCUGUUAAUAUUAGUGGCACUCCUCUUGACCAUCUUCAACAGCUCCGCACCUUUCUUGUGCUGGGAGCCCCAGACCUGAACACAAUAUUCCAAAUGGGACCUCACAAUGGCAGAGGACAAGGGGACAGUCACCUCCCUCUCCCUGCUAGCCACCACUCUUUUGGUGCAGAUGUUGUUGGCCUUCCAGGCCACAAGCACAUACUGCCAUCUCACGUUAUGUUUUUCAUCUACCAGAACCCCUCCAAGUCCUUUUCCAUAUGUAUACAUAUCUGGGAUUUUCUCAAUCCAAGUGCAGCACCUUGCACUUGGUCUUGUUGAACAUCACUUGGCUCACAUGGGCCCACCUUUCAGGUUUGUCCAGAUCUCUUUGGUUGGCAUCCUUUCUUCUGUCCUAUCAAUUAUGCCACUCAACUCAGUGUCAUCAUGGUGACUGAUGAUGCACUCAAUCCCAUCAUCUAUGUAAUUGAUGAAGGUGUUAAAGAAUACUUGUCCCAAGAUGGACCCAGGGGGGAUACUACUUGUCACUGGCCUUUAUCUGGACAUAGAGCCAUUGACCACAUCCCUCUGACUGCAACCUUCCAACCAUUUUCUUAUCCACCAAAUAUUCCACCCUUCAAACCCAUAUCCCUCUGAUUUAGAGAUAAGGAUGUGGCAUGGGACCGUGUCAAAAAUCCAUCUCAUAGCUUGCAGAAUUUGGAAGGCCGUGUCUUUCUAGAGCUGUCCAUCAUCCAGACUAACCUCUUAUUACAGAGAUGUGUGAAUCUAUAUAAGAAGUUUAAGAUAAAUAUUAAUGUGAUAAAUUCUUUGUUCUUCAUUGAGUAUGUGGCUAACUUAGUCUUUAUUUUCAGAACUUUGGAGCUCUUAGGGAAGUACUGUACAUUUUGAAUGGUGCUCAAGGGUCUGAAUGUGUUCAGCAUCAUUUGAAAUAAAUUAGUGGGAUCUGGAACACUGAGCUUCAGAAUGGGAGUCUCCCAAAGCCCUGAAUUAUGAAUUAUGAACCCAGCAUUAGCACCCCCUCCAGCAUUUGUCAGCUCUUAGACUCGCAGCGAUCUUCCAGCCUAUCAGGUACAGAGUACUUCAUUAUGUGCACGAACAGAAAUGCUUAAAUGGAUGAAGCAGCUAUUUAUGUAUGAUAGGAGCUAAGUGGGACAUUAAAUUAAUGCCAAACAAGGAUUUGAUGUCCUCUGAGUGAAUCACAUAGAAUCAUAGAAUGGCCUGGGUUGAAAAGGAACACAAUGACCAUCGAAUUUCAACCCCCCUGCUAUAUGCAGGGUCACCAACCACCAGAUCAGGCUGCCCAGAGCCACAUCCAGCCUGGCCUUGAAUGCCUCCAGGGACGAGGCAUCCACAACCUCCUUGGGCAACCUGUUCCAGUGUAUCACCACCCUCUGUGUGAAAAACUUCCUCCUAAUAUCUAACCUAAGCCUCCCCUGUCUCAGUUUAAGACCAUUCCUCCUUGUCCUAUCACUAUUCACCCUCGUAAACAACUGUUCCCCCUCCUGUUUAUACACUCCCUUCAAGUAUUGGAAGGCCACAAUGAGGUCUCCCUGCAGCCUUCUCUUCUCCAAGCAAACAUGAAUUUCAGGUUCCAAAAUUUGUAUUCCUUUUGACAAUAAAAGGAAACAAGAAGAUUUGCAGAAAAAAUCUACUUUUUACAGAUGACCCAAAGCCAUAACACAAAUCCUAAUGCUUAAAUUAUGAUAACUCUUCACACCAAGUAAUAUUAGGCUCAGAAGACACUGACAAAGCAGUUUGAUAUCUAGUAGACAGCAAUACCACCCAGAUAAAUUCUUGUAGAUUUAAGAUCGGUUUUUUAUUGCACUAGUGCCAAGAUACUGAUAAAAAUUUCAAUAAUCUGAGAAUUUGUCCCAAUUGAAGGAAGCGUAGCAAAAUCUAGCACAGUAGUAUUUGAUUAACACCACAUACUUGUCAGCUCUACUAACUGUUCUUGCAAGUUUCAUUCACUUGUUUGGAGUUCUGUAGAUGGAACCGACCCCUGUGUUCUGUUUUCCUUCAGUUGCAGGUUAUUUUACAAAUCUCAGGAUCUGGAAGACAGAAAACUUUAUCUUCUAAAUGCCUAUCUGUAUUCCUAGAGUUUUGUCAGCUAAAGGAAAGCUAGUUUUAAUCUUAGGUUUUGAACAUAUUAAUAUUGGUUGGCAAUGUUUUCAGUAAACGAUGAUAUGGUUUAAUAAAGUGGUUGUCUUUUAAAAAGUCCAUUUUUACAAAUAUGAAGUUUAGUUUCUUCCUUUUAGAUAGGAAACGUUUUUAUUGAAUAACAGUGGAUAUGUUAUUUAAUCAAUACAAAUUUGGUAUCAGUCUUUUCCUAAUCAAGAUAAUGAAUUUAUAAUCUUUUUAGUACAAGAAACAUUUUAGAAAUUUAUUUUGUCUCUUGAAAUAGGAGAUAAGUCUAAGAGAUUCAUAUUUGUUUAAUGAUAUACUGCCUUGAUCUAUUAGACACCUUGAAAUAUACUGCAAGUGAUGAAAGAACAGCACAUUUUUUGCUUUGCAAUACACUGAUGCAGAUGUUGAAGAUCAGUAUAUCCAAUGAAGUCGUCAUCCUAAAAGUAUACUCUGGUUUCAGCAUCACCUCUUCUUUUGGGGUGUUUGAAACAAAGAUAUAGAAAGUAAAUUGAACUCAUCUUUAGUUAGCAGGCAUAACAUUUCUGUGUAAUAUUUUUCAUUUGAUCAAUGCAUGUAUAAUAUAUUUUGUUGCUGUUUUAAAAAAAGAAACAUGUCAAUAUUAUCUGAGCUUUUAAGGAAAAGACUAGAUACAUAAACAAGAUUGUGCACUGGUAGAAGAGAAGAAUAUACCUGAAUUACUUAGGCCAAAGAGGAAUAAAGAGAUACAGAUGAUGAGGAGAAGAGAGAUCACAAGUCAUUAACUAUGGCUUUAUGUUUCAUGUCUCUGUAUAGUGUGUUUAAUCCUAUUAACUGCUCUCCAUUCAUUCUGUUGUUUCCAUGGAAUAGGAUUCUAAAUCUGCUCCAGAUUAAUAUUAUGCAGUUUGAUAACUAUUGUAGCUUUUUUUAGUAGGUAGAAGGUUCAUCAGAGGUGCCUUUGUUUAUUCCUAACACCUGAAGCGAUCACUGAAUUUCACAUCUCUGGGAAGUUAUCAUUCCCGUAGAAGUAAACAGGUGUUUCUAAAGCUUUCUAGUGGAUGACUAAACCAAUGGCUUUUAUCCAGGUUUUGCAGGUCACUAGAUGUUCAAAAUAGCAGAGGAAAUCAAAAGAACUGCCUGUCUUUUGCUAUCACAGUAAUUUUGCACUUGAGCAUACAAGGAUUGGCUAAUAUAAAAAGUACUGAGGAAGACACGGAGUGAUUCUCUUCAAGCUCUGCCUUGGGAAGUAACAGUAAAAGUUACAUUUCAAAUUACAACUUUACUUGAAAUGUGACUUCAUUUAUUUAGUUUUUUAAAACAUUUUCAAUGCCAAGUUUUUGUCCCUUGACAAUGUCAAAUUGGACGCAAUCCACUUCAAGGCAGAAAGAUAAGCUUCUAAUUGUCAGUCUGGUAACCACUCCCUAGAGAUCAAGUGGUAUACUUUUUGCUUUAUGCCUCACCACUAAUAUCGAUACUUUUGCAACCCAGAAAUGCUUUUCCCUUGAGCAUUUACAACCUUCUUCAAAGUCUUCAUACUUUUCCCCUCUUCUGCCAUCUGUCACACAGCAGCAAAAUGUACUGCAGUAUUGGUGGGAAGGUUCAACCUCUACUGCCAUACCACCACCAUCUGCCUCUGAUGUCAUUGCCCAACAUAAUAAAAUAUGAGGCAUUACUUAUGGAAGGAGAAAAGUGUAGAAGAUAGUAGAUAGUAGAUGGUUUUUCUUUGAAAAAUAUGAAGUUAUGAUUCUUAGAUGAUACCAAGGAUGAUCAACUGAAAAUAGGUAUGGAUGUAGUCUGGAUAUUGACAGUGACUACAAAGUAACUACACAUAAUUAAUCUAGAAGUAUCACUUGCUACAAAAGAAGAGAACAGUUCAGACUUCAAAUGAUGAGUUGGAGCGACUCCUGUAAACUCUUGUGCCCAGAUCUGUGCAGAAAGACAAAUGUUAACACAGGAAGCCUCCUUGCUCUGUAGAGCUUGAACACUGUGCUUACAUGAAGUUAAAGCCUCUAAGCUGAACCUAGCUUUUUGAUUUGUUUGUUUCUUUUUAGCAGUGGUCAAAUAGGGGCUAGUAAGGUAUGCAUCAUUUUCCAAAGUAUUAAAAUAGGCAGUAAAUUAGUAGUGUUUAUGUAAGUAAUCCAGGUGACAACCAUACUCUUACAGGGGUUAAAGUCUAAAGCCAUUCGAUUUUUAAAUGCUGAACAUGUUUUAAGUGCGCUAUUGCUUCAUGCUCUUCUCUAGUAAUAAUGGAUUUGUUGAAAUGAGCAAUUACAUUUAUAAACAGAGAACCUCUCCCACAUGGAGAGAUAUACCCACAAAGUGGUGACCUUUUGGAUAACUAAUGCCAGAACUUGCACUAUAGGAAGACUUAGGAACAUCAGACAUUUGUAACUGUGGCUCUGAAGUGAUAAGGUACCUAUGAGGAAUAACGGUGUCAACAGAGAAAGUUCCUCCCUCGUCUCAGGAAUUUGAUGAAUAACUCUGACUGUAAGCAUAUACGUUCUUUUAUGAUUAUUAUUAAAAAAUGUCUCAUUGCUUUAAAAUGUUUUUAUGUUAAAUGUGCAAAAGAGAGCUUAGCAACAGGCUUUCUCUAUAAGAAAGUGGGUUUUGAUGGGUGGGGUGGCAAGAUGUGCUUUCACCAGAAAUAUGGCUGUUCCCACUGCCCAUAAACACAUCUUUAUGAUAUAUGUGAGAACAGUUUUAGUUCAGUAGUUGCUAAUAAUUUGGCUUUGGGAUUUUUUCAAGUUCAUUUUACGCUUAUAUAAAAAAGAGUGAUUAUCUAUCUCCUAACCUUUCUGGUUUUCCUGAUUUCCAAAUUAAUGAAUAGGAAUAUUAUCAUCAAUAGGGGGCACUGACACUAGCUUCCAUUUUAGACAAUAGAAUUUUUUAAGUGCAUUGAGUGCAGAUUCUAGCAUACCUUUGGGCUAUAAAAUAAUCUAAUAUUCUAAUUGUACUUCACAGUCAACUGUUUGCUGUUUCUUGGACAUCCGUUAUGCAUUGAGCAGCUGCUUCUAUUGAGAUGGCCAUGACUGCUUUUAGGUACUUUCCAUUAAUACAAUACAGGGGCAAGAAAUAUGUAUCAGUAUCCAGACUUCUGAAGUACCUGCUUUAACAGCACCUCUGAAAUUUCUUAACCAUCUUUUCAAAUCUAUCCUAUUUAUGCUUUUGUGUUCUUCCUAUUUUGACAUUUCACUUUCAACCGUAUUCUAAGAUUUUAAUUAAAGUGUAUUUAACCUCAAUCUUGAUAUGUGUACCAAGGUGUUGCAAUAUUAAUCUUCUAAUAUGGCUUAACAAUUCCUCUGGCUCAUUAUCAGAAUCUCAUCCAGCUUCUUAUCCUCUCACAGGCAAUCUUUGUCCAGAGAGAUUUUUAAGUCUUGACAAUAAUGAUGUAGUGCGGGGAGCAAGAUUUCUCAUAAUGAGUGGUUGUUUAAUUUGUAGCUGAGUGGCAUUUUCACUUCUUAGGUAUUGUACUGUUUGUCUAUGAAAAUCAGAAAGUCUGUCUCUGCACAGCACCACAGAAUGGGGUACAAGGACUGGGGGACGUUUGCAGCCUCUUCAAAUGCUUCAUAUAAUAACAAUAGAAAAAGCAUUCUGAAUUAGAUAGAAAAGUGUAACCUAUUUCUACUGUUCACAUGCUUCAGGUCUCUUUCUCAUCUGCUUCACCUUCUCCAUGCCAUUUUGUUUGUAAAGAUACAAUAUUUUUCACAUACUGAAAAAUAUAUUUUUGAAUGAAAACCAGUUCUUGUAUCUGUGAGUUGUAGACAAACAUUCAGCUCAUCUCAGUAUCUGCCAGUUCAAUGGCAGAAUGAACUCUAAUACUAAGUGUAACAACACUGUGGCAGACAAUUCCAUUAAAGACAAUAAUGCAUAUGUUUUAGAUGUUUGCAUACAUUGGCAGAAUUUGGCAUAUGCCUGUCCUAUCAGCCAGAGGUGGAAAAAGGACUGGAAAAAGGACAACAGAACUAAUUUUGUCAAGGACACAAGAGUAAUGUAUUUAGACAUAAUUUAAAAGAUUUGAAUGAUAUUAAUCCAAGCAGAGGACAGUUAAAUAUAAUAAAAGUAAAAACCCUGAAAAAUGAGUGUAAGAACUCAUUUAGUCUUUUUACUGAAACUACAACAGGCUGACUUACCAUAAGCUAAAAAAGAUGUCAUUGAAUUAUCAGCAUUUACCAGUUAUUAUUUGUGGUUUCCAAGAUGCUCCUGCCUCUCACCAUAUUCUGAAUGACUACAUUCAACUCCACAUGUAAUGAAGUUUGAAGUCUCAGACUAAUAAAAAAAAUAAAAAAUAACAGAUAUAUCUUACUAAAGUAGUGAGAAAUCCUGUUCAACUCAGGGGGUCUAAUUGUAGGAAUGAAGGACAUCAGAUCUGUCUCUAAAAAUAUACUGUGCAAAAUGGAAGAUUAGAGAACACAGUUUGCUAAAAGGACUACGUCAGGUCAUUUCAGUGGUGGUGUUCUCUGGGGUAUAGUCUGUGUACCAGUAAAAAUCUCCAUGAUUUUUAGUAAUUCUAUUAAAGUAGCACAUCACCUCCAAAUAUUGAUAAAGAUUGGGCAGAUUCACUUCAGGAUGAACCCUGCAUACACACAUAUUUUCUGAAAUGUAAAUAGUUGGCACCUGCUGAGCCAUAAUCCCUAAAUCAGAAACACAAAUGUUUGGAUUAAUAAAAAAAUGGAAAGCCUCAUUCUUUCUUGUUGUCUUCUGAAUGCACAUUUUUUCACUUUCAGUGUUAUGUGUAUGACUGGCAUGUUUUAUCCAGGACUAGAAAUUCAGCAUGGCUAUUUGCUGUAGUAACCACAAAGGACAGAGGUGAUAAAAUGCAAGCUAAUCCAAAACUUUCAAUGACUUACAUGGGUUUUAAAAUCAAGCCUUAAAUUCAAUACUACAGAUAUGAUGCAGUGUGAAACAACUGAGAUUUGACACUCUUAAGAAUGAAAAUUAAAGGAUAAAUAUUUUAUCUCUUUAAAGAAGUAGUUCACUGUGAUACAUGAAAAAGUUGAAAAAAUGUGAAACUUAAACAUAUGUGUACUAUUAUUGAAAUCUGUUUGAUUUUUUGCAUGCAUAAAGUUUUAGCAUUCUACUGCAUCCAAGACUAAAUUUUCAGUAACGUUUGGGUUUUUAGCACAUGCCUGAAACUGCUGUCUUUCAUAUUUGAAGUGCAUAGGUAAGGAAUAGAGACUGCAGACAUACAGAUUAAUCCACUGUACAAACUAAAGCUAUGAUUACAAGCAAACUGCUUAAACUCUGAUGCAGUUUGAAGGAAGAAAGUUUGAAAUCUUUUACCAACACUGUUUAUUAUUGGACAGGAUUGUGAUGUUUUAUUUGUUUUUGUUUUGUUCUGUUUUGUUUUGGGGGGAUUCAAUACAGAAAUUGGAGGAGUGUGUUGGACUGCAGCUGGUGGUGCUAAUUACCUGGGGCAAAGGAAGUUGUCUUUCCAUUAUGUUUUGUGCUGUUUUUCAGACCUUAUGGAUCCCAGAAGGUGAACCCAUAAUCAAGUCUUUACUGGGGGCUUCUUGGCAAGGCUAUCUCCAGCCACUGUUCCUGGCCUCAUAUAAGGUGUUCUAGAAAGGGGUUCCUCCAGCCGUUCAUCAGGACAAGGAACCAAGUGCUCCAGAGAGCCAAGUGAAUUGUUACCUGUCACAGCAUCCCCAUGUUCAUCUCUUAAUACUUGUGGGUGUGAUACAAACCACCUAAAAGAGAUUCACUGCCUCUUUUACAGCCCAGACUAGACAGUUUCCUGUGUUCCAUCAGUGCAGUUCUACUGCUGCACAUUUUGGUUUGGCUGAUUUUCUCCUGAGUUAGCCAGAAAAGCUGUAAUUUUGAGAAGGACACAGUGUCACUGUAGACAGUAAGCUGAAGAGUCGGAUGCUAUUUGAAGACAAAUGUAACACUUGGGAGACUUAAACAAUCACAAGGAAUUGAGGAAGAACUGUUUCUUCAUAUUUUUGUGACUUUACUGGAAAGUCAUGUGUCAAUAUAUGUUGAAAAGGAUGUUAAAAAUAAGAAAGGUGUACAUAAAAAGAAUUCUGAAACAAACAAAAAAAAGUUAGUGAAAAUACAUCAAGGGCAAGACACAAGAGAAGCUCUAUCUAUUGACUCAGUUUAGACGGAGAAGUCACCUGACUGCAGGUUAGCAGGACUUUAAUCAAGAAAAAAAAAUCUAAUGAGCAGCAAUUUGAAAUACAGCAUUUGGAAAGGUCAAAAUGGUACAUUACAUCCCUAUUAUCCAAAAGAACAGAUGAGUUUAAUAUCCUGACAGCAUUUUCCUGUGAAGAAGAUAUUAAACAAGAACUGAAAAUGGCACAAGGUUCCCUCUUCCUUUCUUUUGACAAAGACUGUAACAAGAUGAUGAAAUUGUACAGAAUAAAUCUCAUCCUGCUUUAAUGUUCAGAUUGGGGAUCCUGCCUAGAUUUCAAAAAUCUAAGCUAAUAAAAGAGACAAAACAUAUGUUAUUUGUUUCAGGUAUAUCCACAUGAAGCAGAAGACUUUUACUAUACAUUUUCCUACUUACAUGACCCAGUUUCCAUCAAUAUUUUCUAGAUUUAAAAAUAGGAAUAAUUGGUAACAGAAGGUACAUAAUGCAUCUAAUUUCAAGAAGUAAAGCAUUGAACUGCAACAGAUAAUGCACUGCAUCAAAACAGCUUAAAAUGUAAAUUUUUCAGCUUCCAUAUGAAAGACUGCAGAAUACAAAGAAUAAAUUCCAACACACAAUGCACUGUAUGUAUUCUGCUUUGGUGAGUCCUUGGCAGUGUGGAACUGUUUGAAGGCAAAGGAAUUUGCACUAUAUCCCGUUGAUUGUUAGCAAUUCAAUUAAUAUAUGGAACUGUCACGAUUUGUUGUCUUAAAUCUUGUUAAAUUGGCCCUCGUGUUAAAUCUUAUUAUUACAACCAAAAAAUGCUGUGCUUAAAAAUCAAAACAUGAGUAUACAGCACACACCUUUAUUAAUGACAUGCACUUGUAUUCAUUCCACAUGAGAUAUGAGAAGUCUGCUGUUACAUAAGAGCAUAACAAGUUAUAUAAUAAAGACAUUCAUGAUUAUUAAAGAAAAACAAAUUAUAUGAUUCCAAAAGAUACACAUCUUCAAGUAUAACUGGCUGAAGUAGACGUACAUGGCUUUGAAUAAGAACUCGUAAGUAGAAAUCAUACAGAACCUCUUUUUUUCUUCACCAUCUAGAGAAUACAUCUGAAAAAAUAUCUCUGUGGUGCUUUAUGUGCAGUACCUUGCUGAGAAAACCCAUUCUGCUUUGGCCAAGAGAGAGAAAAUGAACAUGCCCAAAAUAUGUUUUUCAAGCCUUGAGUGGAAAAAAAAAUGUUUUUUGGGUUUUUUUUUUUUCUUUUUCUUAGGUGAUCUUAUUUUCCACUAGAAAUUGUAGAUACAUCCUUUGUUUUGCAACUGAAAUGCAAGAUAGCUUUUUAAAUGCGUUGGCAAUGUGUGACCAAUUUUGAAACUUCAAAGGUUUUGCAAAACUAUAGAAAAGAAGAUCCCUGAAGGGUGCUAAUUUCCAUAGGCAUUUAUGAAAUGAGUGUUUUCCAUGUAUCUAAAAGAAAUCCACUGGAUAACAUUUAAAGUUUAUAGAGAGUUCCUUGUGAUUUAGUUAAUAGCUCCUGAAACUAAAAUGACAACAAAUAGCUCUUUUCUGUUUCCCAACCAGAAAUACGAGCAGAGUAUGAAGCGUCCAGAAAAUAAUAAGCAAAACUGUUUUUCAGUGAAUUAUUGUUCAUAGUUCAGAUCCAUGGAUUUUUAUCAUGCAAAUUACAAAGAAUUCAGACCAUAUAUAAUUCUGCUAUUAAGAAAUAAAUUAUAUGCUGUUGUUAUCCGACUUUUGAAAAUCAGUAUGGAAUGACUGAGUAGAGAACCCAGCCUACUGAGGAGAGUCUCAUCAUGUAAUGGCACAAACAACUUCAGCAAUUCUUAGAGAGUGAGUACCAAAUAUCUGUAGAAGACAGUGGCAUUUGUUACACUUUCUUUCAGUUUGCUCCUGACUAUGCAAAAUGCUGUUACUGCAUCACACACUAUUUAACAUGGGAACUACCUUGAAUACAUUAGGCAGGUUUAUUUAGUUAUUUCAUGAAAUAGAUUUUUUCCAGUAGGUGAUCACAGUAAAUCUGUUUUGAAAAAUUACCAAAAUAAUCAAGUGUAUCUUGUGAACCAAUAUACCAGUUUGUAGUGAAAUUUUAAGAGGUACUUACUUCCCUUACUUACCUUCAAUAAAUCAGAUGGUGGUUGGGCAUUGCCGUGAAAUCUUUCACUAAUGAAGGAAGGACGUUAAGAAUAAAAUCUGACUGUAAAAUGUUGGACCUGCGAAACCAUAAAUUACAUCUCAAAGCAAGGGAUAUUCCUUAAAUUAAUGGCAGAUUUAAAAUAAUAAUUCAGCUGAUGGAAAAUGUUUUGAAUUGAAACAAGAUCCUAAAAGUGAGAAGUCAAAACACAGCUGACCAUGUGCAGCACACACAUUCCCACACACUUGGCUUUGUUCCAGGAGGAGCUGGUUUAUUGUAAUCCCAGUAAGAAAGGUACCAUGAUGCAUUGCUUAAAAUACAACUUACUACAGCUAAUACUGUACCGAAAAUGAGUGCAUUACACAUAGUUGUUUGUUCCUUUGGAUACUGGGAACCCCGUGAUGGGACUCCAAGCAGGGCACAGCAUCCUGUGCAGAACUUCUGCAUAGAAAAGCUACCCAGUAUUCUAGUCUUUUGAGUGCUUCUAGGGCUUUCCUAACAGAAAAUAAUUCUGCUUACCAUUUCUACUGUCAAACUAAGAAGAUGUGCAUGUGGGAAUUUGUCACUGCUAUUUCACAUAAAGGCAAGGAGAAGCAGGUGAUGCAAUUGACAGUACCAUGUGGGAGCUGCCCAUAGGCUGCUUUGUUAUCCAGUGAGGUCUGUCCUGCAAAGAGCAGAUGCACAGCCCACAGCACAGACUUGAAGGUUGAGCACAGUGUGGAACAUAGUGCAGAUCUGCCCCUGCAGAGGGAAACUGCUAUGUGGAUCACUAAUUCCUCCAUGUUUGAUGGUCUUCAGGUCAGGAUCUCUGCACAUAUAUGCAUACAUACCUGUUUUAUAUCUGCAUUCUUUUGUGCUCCAUAGUGAUGCAUUGUAUUCAAAUCUAUCCACAUUCAAAAUCUGCACGUCUAUUGCAAAUGCUCCUUUAUUCAUGUCUCUGUGUCCAUCAAGCUGGAAUUGUGCAGGAACUCAGAUGGGCUUAUAAUUACACAAUUUGUACCUCCAAAGGCUUUUAAAAGUCUAUGUAGGUAUAUUUUUGCAAGCAUGAUUGUUGUGCCUGCAGCUCAAAAUCUGGUUAUACUUGCAUUUGAGUUUGUUUUGUUUAGUAACACAAUGCUACUCGAUAUUACAUGAAUAAAUCAUCUAUAAGCUAGAAAACACAUCAAAAUCGGAGGAACAAAGUCAGUUGCAUUAUUAAAGAGAGAAAAUAAUUUGACAUGAAAGGCGUUUUAGAGACAAUACAGCCUGUCUGAUUUACUGAUGUGCACGGAAACUAAUAUAUCAUUCAGCCUUGCUACCACAUGACAGCUGUUCUGCAUCUGAUGGGAAAUGUGAUGGUGCUCACAGUCCAGUUCAUACUGGACAGGUGUUGACAUCACAAAAAUCAUCAUCAGAACUGGCACUAAUUGGCACCUUUGUUGACAGCCUCAUCAGAGAGGCCAGUGAUUGAAUCAGCAUGGAUGCUGCCUUGCAAGCUCCGCUGGUAAGGGAUACUGGGCUCAGCUCUUCCUUCACUGAAAUCAUCCUGAGUUUUGCACAUACUUCAGCUCCUGAUGCAAUUUGCCUGUAAAUUCUGUAUGCAUACACACUGCCAUGGCAUACACGUUGAAGUGAUGCCCCCAUACAUAGUGGGCACUGAAACCUGUCCUCCGAAUUUGGCCAACAUAAGAGACCGGAGGCUUAGGUUUGUGAGGAAACAAGACCAAAGCAGGUGGAACCAAAGACUGCUGAUGUUGCAGUCACAUAUCACCCACUAAGAGCUCCAUUCUCACCCAGGCUUUUAUCAAUUUUAGUUUAAUUUAAAUGGAACUGUGGGUUGGUGGACUUCUACUAGCCACUUUACUCCUCCAUGCCUCAGUUUAUUCUUUCACAUGAGGGUCAUAAUGUUUGUCUCAGUCUCAGAUAUAGUUAGGUGUUGCUAAUUAAAGAAUUCCUUAAAGAAUUUUAACAGGUUUGAUGGAAGGCAAUAGACACAUUAAAACUCAGGCUUCACAUUUAUAGGAACACUGGUUUCUUUAUAAUGCCUUUGAAUUGUAGGCAGUUACUAUUGCAUGCAUCCUUUUUGCAUUUAACCAUCUUUCCAUUCACUCUGUUGAAUAUUAAGUUUUUUCUCCUCUCAGCCUGGAUUGUUCAAAUUAGUGCUUAAAAUUAAUUUUUCUUUGGUAUACAGAAACCUAUAUUGUUUGUGGGUUAAUUAUCACUUUUUUUUUAGCUCUAGAGAAAUGCAAUAUAGGUCAAUAAUGUGACUGAAUAAUUUGAGAAUAUUUUUAUGGCAAUAAAAAGAAGUAAAAAAUGUGUGAUAAUUUUGAUCAUAUUUAAUAGCAGUAACUAAAGUAUAUAGAGAUUAUUAGAGCUCACUAGUGCAAUUUUUCAGAGAAGGAUGAAAGGGAGAAAGAGACUGAGAAGGAAGGAAAUGAAGGAAAGAAGAAACGAAGAAAGAAUGAUAGAAAAAAGUAUAAAGGUCAGGAAAAAUAAAUAAAAUUUUAAAAUAAAUAAAUAAAUAAAUAAAUAAAUAAAUAAAAGAACUGUUCCAGUUUCAUGUGUAUGGAAAAGAAUUUGUUGGACAAGGAAAUGUCAGUAUGUAGAUGUAGUGGAAAUGCAAGUCAUGUCUUGAAGCAGUGAUUGAGCACCUGGUGGAAAGACGGGCCACCCCAGGGGAGCUCAGGUGCAUGCAAUGCUGCUGAGUGACCGGGAGGAGUGGAGCCAGGAUCCACCUCUUCCCAAACCACAUUUAAGUGCUGGCAAAGAAAAUGAGGGGAUCUCACUGGAGAUCUCUAUGUACAUGAAAUCUUCAGAAGGUAAGCAGAG
ensembl:lncRNA